GAUGAACGCUGGCGGCGUGCCUAAUACAUGCAAGUCGAGCGAACGGACGAGAAGCUUGCUUCUCUGAUGUUAGCGGCGGACGGGUGAGUAACACGUGGAUAACCUACCUAUAAGACUGGGAUAACUUCGGGAAACCGGAGCUAAUACCGGAUAAUCUUUUGAACCGCAUGGUUCAAAAGUGAAAGACGGUCUUGCUGUAACUUAUAGAUGGAUCCGGGCUGCAGUGGCUAGUUGUGAAGGUAAAGGCUUACCAAGGCAACGAUGCAUAGCCGACCGGAGAGGGUGGUCGGCCACACUGGAGCGGGAACACGGUCCAGACUCCUACGGGAGGCAGCAGUAGGGAAUCUUCCGCAAUAGGCGAAAGCCUGACGGAGCAACGCCGCGUGAGUGAUGAAGGUCUUCGGAUCGUAAAACUCUGUUAUUAGGGAAGAACAGAUGUGUAAGUAACUGUGCACAUCUUGACGGUACCUAAUCAGAAAGCCACGGCUAACUACGUG
rnacentral:rRNA from 1 species